CGACGGCUGGUCCCGAGAGUUCCGUUUCUCAACGUGUGGGCUUGGAGGAAAUCCGAGACAUCUACACGACGAGAAACACUAGGGAUACAGUCUUGCUGUUUGAGAUGGCAAUAGGAUGGGGCAUCAGGCGUAGCUGACUAUGGUGACCGUCGGGCUUCCACAGGGACCAUGACUUCACGCUCAUGAGCCUCUAAGCCUGUCAUCGGUGUGGUUUGUAAAUCGUAUCAAAACCAAAGUAUUAUUAUUUUUCUUUUAACUGUCAUACUGACUCUAUCUCGUUGAGAUAAUUUUUUUUUUUUCUUUCUUCUACUUUUGUCAAAUAUAAUUGAACUUUAAGUACCUGUUUGAGAACAAAAGAAUGAAAAAGAAAGACUAUAAAUAAAAAAAAGUUACUGUUUGAUUCGUACUUUUAUAGAGUGCUUGAAUAAUUUGUAAUUUAUUUUUAGUGUAUAGUUAUGCAUUAUUAUAGAAAAAAGUAGAUAAUAAAUCUGUUGAAAAUAAAAAUAUUUUAUCAAAAAGCCAAAGAAGUACUGAUUUCCUACUCAUAAUUGUUCACACUUAAUCUAUUAAUUUCAUCGCUCCUUUUCAGUAGGAAUUCGUCUUUGAAAUCAUUGCAAACGAGAGGUUGAAAAAAAAGGUAGCAGUCCGGUCAAUCUACAGCAUCGUGAUUGGCUUAUUAGAGUGUUCAAAUGAAAUGUUGGUGAGAGAAAUUUUUGUUUUCGGGAUGAAAUGGGAGUGUUCUGUUUUUCUAGAAAAAGCUGAAUGCGGUACAAAUCCAUUCAUUUACACGACGAUUGAGUCACGCGCAAACAUCCUACCUUUGCACGCCCAUCUUAUCAUCCGGUCACAACGUGAUUAAUUCGCCCAACGAGAUACAGAGGCUCUUCAAGCAGCUGAAAGGGUGAGAGGGUUGAUCAGUAUCAAAAUCUCCCGUGCUAUUUUCUCAGGUAACAAGAUUGUUGUGGGUGUGAUGUGGCGGAUUUGACACUUUCAAUCGUUGUGCGUUGCACAACAUCUACAAAUACGUCACAAGUCAUGAACGUAUUAUUCUACUACAGGCGUGUGUUACCGUUUCUGUGAAAUAAAAAAUUUGCAG